rnacentral:rRNA from 1 species
AAUGAACGCUGGCGGCGUGCCUAACACAUGCAAGUCGAGCGAGAAAGUUCCUUCGGGAGCAAGUACAGCGGCGGACGGGUGAGUAAUGCGUAAGAAUCUGCCCUUUAGUGAGGAAUACUCUCGAGAAAUCGAGGUUAAUACCGCAUAAGUCCCUUCGGGGAGAAAGAUGGCCUCUUGCUGUCGCUAAAGGAUGAGCUUGCGUGCUAUUAGCUAGUUGGUGGGGUAAGAGCCUACCAAGGCGAUGAUGGCUAGCCGGCCUGAGAGGGUGAACGGCCACAUUGGAACUUAGAUACGGUCCAGACUCCUACGGGAGGCAGCAGUGGGGAAUUUUGCGCAAUGGGCGAAAGCCUGACGCAGCGACGCCGCGUGGGGGAUGAAGGCUUUAGAGUCGUAAACUCCUGUUAAGUGGGAAGAAAAUCCUGUUUUUAAUAUGAACAGGCUAUGACGGUACCAUUAGAGAAAGCACCGCUAAC